UUUUCCAUCAUUUUCCUUCUUAAAUGGAGAUGCUCUGACAUUUGAUAGCGCCUCUAUAUAAUACCAUAAUAAUAAGGACUCAAAUAGAACGAGCAACAUCAACCUUAAGGAAUAUCUAGCAAGAGGAGGAAGAGAAAUAGGUACCCACACUUCUGAUGGCGCUUAUCAAGAACAGCGCAAAUGCCCUUUGCUUGGUAAUUCUUCUGAUGUCUACCACUUUGUUGCCAUGCGAGGCAACUGGAAGAAACAAAGGUACAACUUCACAGAUUGAUGUGUGCAAACCUGAGCGCUUAUGCAAGAACCCGAUAGGAUACAAUGUUACCUUGUGUAAGGUUUCAUGCGAAUGGUCUGGCUACAGUUUCUACAACAGCUAUUGUGAGAAGGGUAAAUGCUGUUGUGCUUCCUAAGGAGUUAAAUGAUGUGCCAAAAUGCCAUGAUUGUAUGAUAUGGUGAAUUUCAAUAAACAAUAGAAGUUAGUUUUGGCACGACCAUGCAACUUCAUGAUUCCAUCAA